rnacentral:tRNA from 1 species
GCGGCCGUGCGUGGAACAGAAGACCGGGCGGUUUCAAAAACCGCUGCGCCUCACGGCGCGUGGGCGUGCAAGUCGCCCCGGCCGCACCA